rnacentral:misc_RNA from 1 species
GAUGAAGAACGUAGCGAAAUGCGAUAAGUAAUGUGAAUUGCAGAAUUCAGUGAAUCAUCGAAUCUUUGAACGCACAUUGCGCCCCUUGGUAUUCCGAGGGGCAUGCCUAUUCGAGCGUCAUUAUCACCCCUCAAGCCUAGCUUGGUGUUGAGAACUGCUGUCAAGGCAGUCUCUAAAAUCAGUGGCAGUGCUGUCAGGCUCUAAGCGUAGUAAAUUCAUCGCUAUAGACACCUGGUGACCACUCGCCAGAACCCCCCCAUUUUUUAAUGAUUGACCUCAGAUUAGGUAGGGAUACCCGCUGAACUUAAGCAUAUCAAUAAGCGGAGGA